CCUACGGGAGGCAGCAGUGAGGAAUAUUGGUCAAUGGGCGCAAGCCUGAACCAGCCAAGUCGCGUGAGGGAUGACGGUCCUAUGGAUUGUAAACCUCUUUUGUCGGGGAGCAAGGCCCGCCACGUGUGGCGGGAAGGAGAGUACCCGAAGAAAAAGCAUCGGCUAACUCCGUGCCAGCAGCCGCGGUAAUACGGAGGAUGCGAGCGUUAUCCGGUUUUAUUGGGUUUAAAGGGUGCGUAGGCGGAAGGUUAAGUCAGCGGUAAAAUGUCGGUGCGCAACACCGGCCUGCCGUUGAAACUGGUCUUCUUGAGUGAGCGAGAAGUAUGCGGAAUGCGUGGUGUAGCGGUGAAAUGCAUAGAUAUCACGCAGAACUCCGAUUGCGAAGGCAGCAUACCGGCGCUCAACUGACGCUGAGGCACGAAAGCGUGGGGAUCGAACAGGAUUAGAUACCCUUGUAGUC
rnacentral:rRNA from 1 species